rnacentral:lncRNA from 1 species
CACAUUCUUCCACCCACAGAUGUGAAUGUCGUGUGAUGUUGGCUUUCCAGUGUCUUGCAUGGCGUGGUAGCAGCAGAAAUGAGCUUGGCUGGGCACCCUCUCUGGGCCUUGGAGGCAAGCCUGGGCUCCUCUGAAAAUACAGGCAGCUUCCUUUCCCUGACUUGCCUGGAGGAGCCAGGCCCUGUGGUGCGGUCUGGCUCUGAGGCCUGUGGUCCUGCUUGGGACUGGCAGUCUUAGGCUGAGGGAACAUUUUCCAGAGUAUAGCCGAGGGACAGAAUGUCUCAGUAAGACGGGCUCGGAGGGGAAGUGUUUUGGAAAGGCCUCUGCUUGCUCUGGGAGGCGUUCAGGAUGCUGAGGUUUUGGAAAUCUAUGGCGGCUCUUCACAACUGCUCCCAGCUUUGGGAGGAGGAAUAGACGGGUGCUCGUUUCCUCGGGUUCAGUGGCAAAGGUGAAGACCAGCACUGCCGACCUGGGACCUGGGCCUCUCCCGGGCCUGGGGAGGACACUGGACUUUGAAGGGGAAUGCAGCCUAGAAGGCCUGGACCCUGGAGUCAGGAGAUGCUGCUCCCAUCCAGUAAGCCCUGGCUGGAGCUCUUCUGGGCACCAACCCUGGCAUAAAACCAGUGGGGCCUCUGGGCCUGCACUCAACAGUGCCUCUGAUGGAGCAGAUAUAGAACAAUUCCAUCACUCCAGAAAGUACCAUGGGUCCUCUUUCCAGUUUCUCCACCCCACUGCUCAUCCCCCCAGGUUCAGCUUGGUUGUGACCUCUGCUAGAAGCCCUCCCUGGCCUCCCUGUGCACUGAGCUGGUGGUUCCUCCUUUGCGCCCCAGUCAGGAAGCCACUCCACCCCAGAAGAAGGUAAUAUGAGUCCUACUACCUUUCUGAAAGGAAGGGACACUCAUGUCGGGAGGCUUCAGCUGCUGUGAAAGAAACUCAGCUACCCUGAGGCUGCCUUGUAGAGGGACUGCAUUUAAAGUGAGAGAUUCCUGAGGAGUUCCAGCCAUCCAGCCCCAAGCAGUGUGAACCUCCUAGUCUAGACCCCAGCAUUUGAGCUGACCUCAGCCCCAGCCACCAAUUGACUGCAAACUCAUGAGACACCCUGAGUGAGAACUGCCUAGCUUAGUCUCUGUCAACCCUCAAAUUUCAGGAACAAAAUAAAUGAUUGUUGUUGUCUUAA